UACGUAGGGUCCGAGCGUUGUCCGGAAUUACUGGGCGUAAAGAGCUCGUAGGUGGUUUGUCGCGUUGUUCGUGAAAACUCACAGCUCAACUGUGGGCGUGCGGGCGAUACGGGCAGACUAGAGUACUGCAGGGGAGACUGGAAUUCCUGGUGUAGCGGUGGAAUGCGCAGAUAUCAGGGGGGAACACCGGUGGCGAAGGCGGGUCUCUGGGCCGAUACUGACGCUGAGGAGCGAAAGCGUGGGGAGCGAACAGG
rnacentral:rRNA from 1 species